UACGAAGGGGGCUAGCGUUGCUCGGAAUCACUGGGCGUAAAGCGCACGUAGGCGGCUUUUUAAGUCAGGGGUGAAAUCCUGGAGCUCAACUCCAGAACUGCCUUUGAUACUGAGAGCUUGAGUCCGGGAGAGGUGAGUGGAACUGCGAGUGUAGAGGUGAAAUUCGUAGAUAUUCGCAAGAACACCAGUGGCGAAGGCGGCUCACUGGCCCGGUACUGACGCUGAGGCACGAAAGCGUGGGGAUCAAACAGG
rnacentral:rRNA from 1 species